CUGGCCAGCCGGCCAUCCCGACGAGGGCCUCUCUGCCCGUCCUGAGUCUGGGGGGUCGCAAGACCUCCAAACCCAGGUUUUUGCUGGUGGUGCAGAGGAAGGGCCGGAGGGCUCCAUGCUCCUGCCCUGAGAAGAAUCAGGAUUUUGCUGACACGGGGCCUCCGAGGAAGCCGAGGCGGUGGUGACUUUUUGCCCCGUUACCGCGACAGGCAUUUGGGGGUUUCACUGCAUCUGGAGCGUGUCAUCCCCACUUUGGGAUCCGGGGCCUGGGAAGUGUGGCGAUCCCUGGAGGCUGAGCCCCGCUUUGGGGCUGAAAGAGCCAGCUCCCCGUUCCCCCCACCCAGCCCCCUACACACAGAUCGUUCAUUUUAUCACCCUGUCCUCUGAUUCAUUAACCGCAGCUCGUUGGCAGCAGGCCCCACCCUGACAGCUCAGGACAAAGCGUGCAGGGCCCUGGGCUGGGGCUGAGUGACACGACGACGCUGGGCCAGGCCUCUCUGUGCAAAGCACAAUGGUCUGGGGCGCACACAAGGGCACACCCCUGGUCCCCUUUUUCGAAAGGGCCUUCUCUGGCCCCUCUCUCCCCCGGAUGACUCUUCCUCGCUACCAGGAGCCCCGAAACCAGCAUUCCCAGUGGCAGGAAGAUGGAUGACCAGGCUCCACUUCCCCGGCUCCUCCCCCACUCUGGCUGGAACUUGCGUCAGGCCCCUUCCUGCCCGACCCCUCUGUGCAUUUGAACAUGUCGUGACGGGCCUGUGCCAGCCCCGCUCUUUCGGGAUGGACACUCCCAGGCCCGUUCCAGGAAAGCACAGGCCAGUCCCCGGAGCCCGGGCUGAGCAGGAGUCCAGCUUGCUGUGUUCCAACCCCCUGUGCGGGUCAGGGGGACCUUUCCUCCACCCUUGGGUCCCUGCCCAGGCGGAGCAGUGGAAACACCUCCAAAGAAAAUAUGGGCAUAGAAGUAGCCUUGGGUGACACUGUGGCCCCCAGACCGUCUUCCUGCCCAGCGGUACCUGCAACGCUGACAAUCUGGCCGGAGGAUCCUGCCCCUGCCUUUGCCAGCAGAGCCCUGGGGGGGCCGGGGCUGCUGCUUCCAGAUCAGGGUGACCCUCGGGGUGGGUGCCAAGAAGAGCAAGCCACUUCCAGCUGCACCUCACCACCUGGCCACAUGCAACUAGGGAACAAAUGCAGCCGCUGGUUUCGGUGAGUCACUGCUCGGCUGACUUGGAGAGAGAAGCCUGGUGCUGUUGGGGGGCUGCGACCGCAGCAGGCCCUUUUAUCCGGGGACUGGAGGGUGGAGGCUUCGGGUCCUAAGAUGCUUCCCCCCACCCCCCUUCUUUUGGAAUGUUUACAGUGAUGCAUUCUUAAUGACUUUUGUCUCUUCUUCCAGAGAACUAGGAGCAUUUUAGAACUCACGAGUAGGGCGCCCAACCUCUGGUUCCUGUCUCUAAGCUCCCUGGGCGCAGCCUCCCCUCUGGACUCAGGGCGGACGCUUCCUGGGUGGCAGGGGAGACGUGACCGGACGACCUCGGUGUGCUCUGAAGGAAAAGCAGUG
rnacentral:lncRNA from 1 species